UUUUUUGGGGAUUGUGGCUCGAGCUGUGAACAGUCGGUGCUCCUUCUCUGAAUGAAUUUUCUGGAAAAUCUCCAUUUAAGAUCCAAAAAAAACUAGGGCUCCUUUCUGUCCUCCCCUUCAGUCUUGCUAAGUGGUGCCGCCAGCAGGACCAGAGGAUGACCCUGAGGGCUUCUGUUUCCGAAAGCUUAGCCCCACCCUCCUGCCACCCCAAAGCCCUGCACUCCCCUCUUUGCUCAUGGUCAGCAAGUAGCCCUGACAAGUGUCCCAUUUGUUUGUCAACGUUGGCUGUGAAAAAUCAUGGGGAAGCAAAUUGCUUUUCUGUGGAAGGGGGUCAGGGAUCUGAUGGGAAACCCCAACUCCUGGAAACCAGCAUUGGUGGGGACAUCUUUGAGAAAUAAAAAAGGAAAUGCCUGGAAGCCCUGGGGUUGGGGCAGAAAGCCAGUGCCUCAGAGCCAGCCCCGAGAGCUCUCAGGGCGAGGCGGGGAGGAAGCUGCUGUCAGAAACACGCGGCGAGUGUGUGGCCAAAGCACUCCAUCCAACAGGUCCCCACGCAUUCUAAAUAAUUAGGCUGACAUCUGGGAAUGAUUUAUAACCACAGUUUAUUUGAUCCAACAAUAAAAUUCCAGAGUUUGGCAAGGUGAUGAAGGCCGUCGAGGCCGAAAUGUGAACGUGAUAUUGUUAAGCUAAAGAAAAUGCAUCUAUAAAUCACAUUACACAUCCUUAUGGGGAUUGCAGAUUAAUGUGCUCAAGUUGACAGGAUUUUGGACUCCAAAACCAGUUUUACAAAAUGGUCACAAGAAAAUAAAAAUCUAACUAACAAAACAAAUUUGAAGAAAUUGGGUGGGGAUAGGAAGAAAGGGAAACUUAAGGAAGGGCCCACAUCUCUGCAUGUGUGAACUCUGAUUGGGGAGUAAAGCCAAAAGGAGAACAUUUUGGCAAGUUGGAUUAUAAUGAUGAGUAGGGUUUAUUGAGCAUUUACUGUAUGCCAAGCACGAUGGGCCUUUAAGCGGUAUCUCAUUUCAUCCUCACAAUAGCGCAGUGGCGUAAGCAGCACAUUACAGCUGAGGCAACUGAAGCAUAGAGAAGUGAUAUAAUCCCCCAGGUAGCCCCCCUUGACCCUGGUGGAGACAAUAUUCAAACUGAGAGCCCCCGCACUCUCACCUCACAGACGGAGCAGACAGAUCAAAUGGAAAGGCUCCCCCAUCCUGUCCUCUACACCACCUUGCAGCUGGGCCUCAGCAACUGGGCUUUUAAUUUCAGUCUAAUUCAAGUCAGCAGCAUAGGGCAGCUCCUGGGAAAUUGGUUUACACAUGCGGACAAGCCCAGUAGCCCAGAGCUAACCCACUCACCAUCCCUGACCACAGAGGAGCAGAUAAGGAAGCAAGAUUUGUCGGGAUGGAGUCUCGCUCUGUCACCCAGGCUGGAGUGCAGUG
rnacentral:lncRNA from 1 species